GACAGAUGAUUGCCAGUGUUGUUUCAUUUCAGUUCUUAAGUUCCUGCAUGGGGUGCUUACUGAUGAGUCUGUCUCUCCUCUCAGGUAAGCCAGGCCUCCAUCCACUCCUGCACAGCAGGGAACGCUGCACGGUGGCCCAGGGUUCGUGGUGGGCACGCCGUACCCCUCACCCCCUCCACGUGGAGUCUGGCUGAGGGCUCCCUCCCGCAUGCCAGGCCUGGCAUGUCGGUGCAGGCCCUUGCAUUUCUGGCUGUGCUGCGCAGUCUCACCCUUGAGAAGAAGGGGGCGCUGUUGCCUCAGCCUUGCAGAGUUUCUCUGUGGUCAAACCACCCUGCCAGCCUCCCUGCUGCAGCCGGCAGCACGUCACUCCAUGCGGGAGGGGAGCCCCACCUAAGGUUCUUGGCCAUAAAAUAUGGCUUUUGGAAAAAUAAAGCUGAGACUUGGAGUUCACGGUGGGGGCUCCCCCAUCUGUGAACAGAAGCAGAAGUUUGGAACUGCCUUCUUUACUGCUCGAGAGGGAAAACUUGAGUGAAAACCAGGAUGCUGGCGAAUGUUGAGUAGCUAAGCUGCACAGGAAAUACCACUUGAUGACCUGCGAUCUGGGGAAGCCGCGCCAGGGCUCUGCGAAGCUGCGGACGAGGGAGGCGUCAGUGUGGGGGCUGCAGCUCAGCUCCGGGGGGGACGCGCCUUUCUCCACGGGACCUGGGGCUCAGGUGCUCACGAGGCUGGGGCGCUGCAGGCCACCCGCAGGGGAAACUGAGGCCCUCCAUUUUGUGGGGCUGGAAGACCUUUCCUUCCAAAAGCAGGUGUAGGCGGGAGCACCUGUGCAGUCCCUCUGUUCAGAUCCUCACCCACUUUUAAAUCAGGAAACAGCAGAUGAAAUGCACAGUGUGAAGGACAAGGAUUCUGCUGAGAGAAUUGCUCCGAGGGUUGCUCAAGUGAUCAUGGGAAAUAAUGCAUCAAACCAUUCUUUAGAUGCAGCUCAGGUGUGCCUUUUCUUCGCCUGUGCCCAUCCACCUGAGAUGGACCAUAACCAUAAAAGUCAGAAGGCACUGACCCUUCAGGACGUGACAGGGUUAAAAGAUGCUGGAGGGAAAGUCUGUCAUUGACUUUUAUUCACUUCCUUUCUCCAUUCUGCCAUUUGGAAGAAGGUAAGCAACUUAACACUAUUUUAGACCAUAUGUUGUAAACUAGCAGGAAAAUGCCUUUGAGCUGAUGAUGGUGGCCCGAACACAGUGAACCUGUCUUAAAUCCCUGCUUUAAACCCUUAAGGGUGUCACUUACAAGAGAUACUAUUUGAAGUCUUCCCAUGCAUGUGUAGGGUGGGGGGAGUACCAACAGCUCAUCGAAUGGGCUCCAUUUGAAAGAUCUGGAUGGUUGCCUUUAUUUGUAACUAGUUUCUUUUCUUUUUUUUUUUUUCCUUGAG
rnacentral:lncRNA from 1 species